GGCGCGAGAAAUUUACAAUGCCGGCGACAGCGAUACGGGGGCCUCGUGUGCCCGGUCACAAAUUUGGCUGUUUUAACGCCUAAAAAACAUUGCAUAGCAAGGGCCGGGCAAGACCGGUGCCAGCCGCCGCGGUAACACCGGCGGCUCGAGUGGUAACCGUUAUUAUUGGGUCUAAAGGGUCCGUAGCCGGCUUGAUAAGUCUCUUGGGAAAUUUCGCAGCUUAACUGUUAGGCUUUCAGGGGAUACUGUCUGGCUAGAGGCCGGGAGAGGUGAGAGGUACUUCAGGGGUAGGGGUGAAAUCCUGUAAUCCUUGGAGGACCACCAGUGGCGAAGGCGUCUCACCAGAACGGACCUGACGGCAAGGGACGAAAGCUAGGGGCGCGAACCGGAUUAGAUACCCGGGUAGUCCUAGCUGUAAACGAUACUCAUUAGAUGUAUGGGAUAGGAACAGGCAGGGGAAGGCUAG
rnacentral:rRNA from 1 species